CCUUGAAUGCCUCCGGGGAGGGGGCAUCCACAGCCUCCCCAGGCAAACUGUUCAGUGUCUCACCACCCCCACAGUAACGAAUUUCUUCCUAAUAUCUAGUCUAAAUCUACCCUCUUCCAGUUCAAAGCCAUUGAUGGCUACAAAGCCAAAUGUUUCACUCCUUCAUGACUACUUAGUCAAAGUGAGUCCUGUACCCACCUGACUGCUCUUUCAGCUGGAGCCAAGAGUGCAGUGUGUUGCAGAAGUACCAGCCAAAGCUGGUUAUAACCUGACUGCCCUGCCUUGACAAGCACCUGCUCUGAUUCAUGCUGCUGUUGUGAUAAACCAACCCAUGAGUGCUGGGGUUCUCAUCAAGUUUGUACAGUGACAGUGUUAUCCCUGAUACUCCACAGAAACAGAGGAAGGCAGAGUGCUGCUUUCAGGCUCUCUGCUGUAGUUUCCUCACUUCUGUGUUAUGGCUACUGCAGUGCAUAUGCUUGAAGUGAAACAAGCAUCAUCAACUUGUUUACUA